CAGUCGCCGCGGUAAAACGAAGGGGGCUAGCGUUGUUCGGAAUUACUGGGCGUAAAGCGCACGUAGGCGGAUAUUUAAGUCAGGGGUGAAAUCCCGCAGCUCAACUGCGGAACUGCCUUUGAUACUGGGUAUCUUGAGUAUGGAAGAGGUGAGUGGAAUUCCGAGUGUAGAGGUGAAAUUCGUAGAUAUUCGGAGGAACACCAGUGGCGAAGGCGGCUCACUGGUCCAUUACUGACGCUGAGGUGCGAAAGCGUGGGGAGCAAACAGGAUUAGAUACCCCAGUAGUCCCUGUCUCUUAUAC
rnacentral:rRNA from 1 species